CCUACGGGCGGCAGCAGUGGGGAAUAUUGCACAAUGGGGGAAACCCUGAUGCAGCGACGCCGCGUGAGUGAAGAAGUAUUUCGGAAUGUAAAGCUCUGUCAGCAGGGAAGAAAAUUACGGUAGCUGAUCAAGAAGCACCGGCUAACUACGUGCCAGCAGCCGCGGUAAUACGUAGGGGGCAAGCGUUAGCCGGAUUUACUGGGUGUAAAGGGAGCGUAGACGGCAGGGCAAGUCUGGAGUGAAAUGCCGGUGCUUAACCCCGGAACUGCUUUGGAAACUGUGCAGCUGGAGUGCAGGAGAGGUUAGUGGAAUUCCAGGUGUAGGGGUGAAAUGCGUAGAUAUUAGGAGGAACACCAGUGGCGAAGGCGGCUAACUGGACUGUAACUGACGUUGAGGCUCGAAAGCGUGGGGAGCAAACAGGAUUAGAUACCCCGGUAGUC
rnacentral:rRNA from 1 species